rnacentral:rRNA from 1 species
UUAUUUGAGAGUUUGAUCCUGGCUCAGGAUGAACGCUGGCGGCGUGCCUAAUACAUGCAAGUCGUGCGAGGUAGCUUGCUACCGAGCGGCGAACGGGUGAGUAACACGUAGGUAACCUGCCUUUAAGACUGGGAUACCCAGACGAAAGUUUGGCUAAUACCGGAUAACAGCAUUGGGGACAUCCCCUUUGCUUGAAAGUCGCGUUUGCGGCACUUUUAGAUGGACCUGCGGCACAUUAGCUAGUUGGUGAGAUAACAGCCCACCAAGGCGAGGAUGUGUAGCCGACCUGAGAGGGUGAACGGCCACAAUGGGACUGAGACACGGCCCAUACUCCUACGGGAGGCAGCAGUAGGGAGUUUUCGGCAAUGGGCGCAAGCCUGACCGAGCAACGCCGCGUGAGUGAGAAGGUCUUCGGAUUGUAAAGCUCUGUUACGAGGGAAGAACGAUCGCUUCAGGAAAUGGGAGCGGUGUGACGGUACCUCGCCAGAAAGGGACGGCUAACUACGUGCCAGCAGCCGCGGUAAUACGUAGGUCCCGAGCGUUAUCCGGAAUUAUUGGGCGUAAAGAGUGAGCAGGCGGCACGGUAAGUCGGAAGUGAAAGCGUGGGGCUUAACCCCAUAUAGCUCCCGACACUGCCGAGCUAGAGUAUGUGAGAGGUAAACGGAACUCCAUGUGUAGCGGUGAAAUGCGUAGAUAUAUGGAAGAACACCAGUGGCGAAGGCGGUUUACCAGCACAAUACUGACGCUCAGUCACGAAAGCGUGGGGAGCAAAUAGGAUUAGAUACCCUAGUAGUCCACGCCGUAAA